GGGUGGGUCACUUGAGAAACACGAUAUUUGCAUUUGCAUAUCAUUUCUCUUCCUUUCUUUUCUUCAGAGACAAAACACACACACACACCCACAGAUAUGGAGAUUGAGACGGAAAAGAAGCUAUCAAAAUUCAAGAGAAUCUGUGUGUUUUGUGGUAGUAGUCCAGGAAAAAAGAGUAGCUAUAAAGAUGCUGCUAUUGAACUUGGAAAAGAAAUGGUAGCAAGAAAUAUUGAUCUGGUUUAUGGAGG
rnacentral:misc_RNA from 1 species